UCGAGUGGCGAACGGGUGAGUAACACGUGGGUGAUCUGCCCUGCACUUUGGGAUAAGCCUGGGAAACUGGGUCUAAUACCGAAUACACCCUGCUGGUCGCAUGGCCUGGUAGGGGAAAGCUUUUGCGGUGUGGGAUGGGCCCGCGGCCUAUCAGCUUGUUGGUGGGGUGAUGGCCUACCAAGGCGACGACGGGUAGCCGGCCUGAGAGGGUGACCGGCCACACUGGGACUGAGAUACGGCCCAGACUCCUACGGGAGGCAGCAGUGGGGAAUAUUGCACAAUGGGCGCAAGCCUGAUGCAGCGACGCCGCGUGAGGGAUGACGGCCUUCGGGUUGUAAACCUCUUUCAGCACAGACGAAGCGCAAGUGACGGUAUGUGCAGAAGAAGGACCGGCCAACUACGUGCCAGCAGCCGCGGUAAUACGUAGGGUCCGAGCGUUGUCCGGAAUUACUGGGCGUAAAGAGCUCGUAGGUGGUUUGUCGCGUUGUUCGUGAAAACUCACAGCUUAACUGUGGGCGUGCGGGCGAUACGGGCAGACUAGAGUACUGCAGGGGAGACUGGAAUUCCUGGUGUAGCGGUGGAAUGCGCAGAUAUCAGGAGGAACACCGGUGGCGAAGGCGGGUCUCUGGGCAGUAACUGACGCUGAGGAGCGAAAGCGUGGGGAGCGAACAGGAUUAGAUACCCUGGUAGUCCACGCCGUAAACGGUGGGUACUAGGUGUGGGUUUCCUUCCUUGGGAUCCGUGCCGUAGCUAACGCAUUAAGUACCCCGCCUGGGGAGUACGGCCGCAAGGCUAAAACUCAAAGGAAUUGACGGGGGCCCGCACAAGCGGCGGAGCAUGUGGAUUAAUUCGAUGCAACGCGAAGAACCUUACCUGGGUUUGACAUGCACAGGACGCCGGCAGAGAUGUCGGUUCCCUUGUGGCCUGUGUGCAGGUGGUGCAUGGCUGUCGUCAGCUCGUGUCGUGAGAUGUUGGGUUAAGUCCCGCAACGAGCGCAACCCUUGUCUCAUGUUGCCAGCACGUUAUGGUGGGGACUCGUGAGAGACUGCCGGGGUCAACUCGGAGGAAGGUGGGGAUGACGUCAAGUCAUCAUGCCCCUUAUGUCCAGGGCUUCACACAUGCUACAAUGGCCGGUACAAAGGGCUGCGAUGCCGUGAGGUGGAGCGAAUCCUUUCAAAGCCGGUCUCAGUUCGGAUCGGGGUCUGCAACUCGACCCCGUGAAGUCGGAGUCGCUAGUAAUCGCAGAUCAGCAACGCUGCGGUGAAUACGUUCCCGGGCCUUGUACACACCGCCCGUCACGUCAUGAAAGUCGUUAACACCCGAAGCCGGUGGCC
rnacentral:rRNA from 1 species